GACGAACGCUGGCGGCGUGCUUAACACAUGCAAGUCGAACGAAGGGGCGAACGGGUGAGUAACGCGUAAUCAACCUGCCCUUCCGAGGGGGACAACAGUUGGAAACGACUGCUAAUACCGAAUACUUCAGGUGGGGAUUGCGUCUGUUUAGCUCGUUGGAGGGGUAACGGCCCACCAAGGCGAUGAUCAUUAGCCGGGCUGAGAGGAUGAACGGCCACAUUGGGACUGAGAAACGGCCCAGAAUCCUACGGGAGGGAGCAGUGGGGAAUCUUCCGCAAUGGACGAAAGUCUGACGGAGCAACGCCGCGUGAAUGAUGACGGGCUUCGGGUUGGAAAGCUCUGUUAAUCGGGACGCGGUACCGGAAUAGAAAGCCACGGCUAACUACGUGCCAGCAGCCGCGGUAAUUC
rnacentral:rRNA from 1 species